UACAGAGGGUGCGAACGUUGCUCGGAAUUACUGGGCGUAAAGCGCAUGUAGGCGGAUCCAUAAGUCGGGCGUGAAAUCCCCAGGCUCAACCUGGGAACUGCGUUCGAAACUGUGGGUCUAGAGUGUCGGAGAGGAUGGCGGAAUUCCUGGUGUAGAGGUGAAAUUCGUAGAUAUCAGGGAGGAACACCGGUGGCGAAGGCGGCCAUCUGGACGACAACU
rnacentral:rRNA from 1 species